CCUACGGGAGGCAGCAGUGGGGAAUAUUGGACAAUGGGCGCAAGCCUGAUCCAGCCAUGCCGCGUGUGUGAAGAAGGCCUUUUGGUUGUAAAGCACUUUAAGCGAGGAGGAGGCUACUUGGAUUAAUACUCUAGGAUAGUGGACGUUACUCGCAGAAUAAGCACCGGCUAACUCUGUGCCAGCAGCCGCGGUAAUACAGAGGGUGCGAGCGUUAAUCGGAUUUACUGGGCGUAAAGCGUGCGUAGGCGGCUUUUUAAGUCGGAUGUGAAAUCCCUGAGCUUAACUUAGGAAUUGCAUUCGAUACUGGGAAGCUAGAGUAUGGGAGAGGAUGGUAGAAUUCCAGGUGUAGCGGUGAAAUGCGUAGAGAUCUGGAGGAAUACCGAUGGCGAAGGCAGCCAUCUGGCCUAAUACUGACGCUGAGGUACGAAAGCAUGGGGAGCAAACAGGAUUAGAUACCCUGGUAGUCCAUGCCGUAAACGAUGUCUACUAGCCGUUGGGGCCUUUGAGGCUUUAGUGGCGCAGCUAACGCGAUAAGUAGACCGCCUGGGGAGUACGGUCGCAAGACUAAAACUCAAAGGAAUUGACGG
rnacentral:rRNA from 1 species